CAUUGUAUUUAAAAUAUUAAAUAAUGAUGUUAAAUAUUAUGCAGAAAGAAUAAAUAAUUUUUAACCGAAGGAGAUAUAAUUAUAGAGAACUGGCGUUUACUCGGAACUUUGUUUGCAUGCGCGUGACCAGGAUAUGUUUACUGACCAGAAUAAAAAGUAGUAUAUAUAUUUCUCCAUUUCGUAUAGAACGUGUAUACCAAAUUUCAUAAUAAUUGGUUAAGCCGUUAAACACCUAUGAGGUAACAAACUAACAAAUUCACUUUUACAUUCAUUUUUAUUAGUAGAGAUACGAGUAUAUCUACAAUCAAUGGAUUUUAUAAUCGUGCAAUCCUUCCUAUUCGGUUAAUUCGCGAUAUCCUGUAAAAUAUAUCGAUAUAAUUUCAAAGAUUAAUUACAAAUUGUCCUUGUUUAUUGUCUAUAUAUAUACAAGUUAUAUAUAAUCACACCAAUUGCCUGGUCCUCGAGCUACGAUACCUUAUACCAUGAGGAACCCGGCAAAGAUUCUCUAGGGCCACAACCUAAAACACCCAACCCAAAUCAAUUUAGAAAAUUUAGUUUUCUAAAAUAGGUUAACCGAAAAUCGAACCUUCGACCUCUUAUACGCAAAGCAUUAUGCCCACCACUGCGUUAUGAAGGUGGUCAAAUCAAGGGGCACGGCACUGACACCAUAUCGAGCAAAGUUGUACUAUUCUUUUUCGAAGCGACUUUCGGCACUUUUGACUCCAUGUAACUUUAUUGUGGAUAAAGUAGGAAGUUAAAAUUUUUAAUGAUUAAGAGAAUAUAUAGUACUAUACCUGGCUAUAUUGCCUAUUAAUAAUAAAUAAUAAUUAUACAUUUUACUUUAUGAAUUAUCGCUAGUGACAAUUCAUUAAUUUUGUCACUGACACUCACCGAUCGUCAAAAUUCUAAGGUACUUCUAGCAAUCUCACACACUGUAAAUUGUGAAUUUUAGCUAGUGUUUGCCUAUAAAGAAAGAAAAAAUUAAAAAUAAUCAUUCUUAAAAAUCAUGUUAAAUAUAAGCACUUAUUCAACAACUGUGUUAUAAAUUAUUAUCUAAUCAAUUACCAAUCAAUAUUUAUAGUGACCAUAUCAGUAUUAUCAAUCUUCUAUAAUAAUUAUAUUGCCACCAAGAAAGGUUCUUGAAUAGGUCGCUACUCUAAAAUAUUCUUUCCCCAUUUGUUAUCAGUUCUUCAAGAUAUACAACCAGUCCAUUGCCACUUCAAUGUGCUUAUCUUACUAGCGGUAUCGGUCACAUUAGUUCUUUUGCGAAUAUGUAUCGUCAUUUCGGAUUCUGUCACGCUAAGAAACUCCGAUCAUAGUCCUCUCCACAGCUCGCUGAGUAACUUGAAGCUUUUGCAUACGGGAACUGUGUAGGACCAUGUUUCGGUUCCGUAGGGUGUCGCUGGCAACACGCACUGCUUAAAGACCUUCGUCUUCAAACUGAAGUAUUUUCGAUAAUAAAAUGUGACGUAAUUUUCCGAACGCUGUCCAAAUGAGUUGGAUUCGUUGGUUGAUCUCUCGGUAUGUUUUUUUUUUCUUUUUUAUGGAUGAUAAUGGUAUAGCAAACCCGCCUGCGGUAUCGGUAUACGCUGGCAGAACAACACGGAGGAAUGACAAGUGAAGAUGAAGUAAGUUAGCUCGUCAUGAUCAAUCAUCGCCAUCAAAAAAUAACCACGAUGGUUUCCAGGGGGAACCGCAUGGAAGUCAACCUAUUAGGGUAUAUUUCUAGUAAUGUACAUAUACUUCAGCAGUUCAACAUAGUCAAUAAUUAUCGAAAUAAAAAUGUCUAAUAUUAAUACGGUCACUAUAAAUGUUGAUAGGUAAUUGAUUUAUUGAUAAGUUGAUAAAUAUUGAUUUAAACCAAUUAUUAACAAAAUUGUUAGAUAGACUAACUAAAAUAAUUGAUUUGGUUUUCAUUACAUGAGAUUUCACAACUUUUUGUAGUAAAAGAACAACGUUACGAGACUUGACAUUUUUUCACAUAUUAUAUGUUGUGGGAUCAUAUGAUACAAUGCACAGAAGAUGAUUAUUGCAAAAUUAUUAUAUAAUAUAAUAUAUUAUUUGCAUUAGCAAAUAAUUAUUUCUCAUUUAAAUACGCUUUACAUAAGUACUAAAUUUUAAAGUCUUAUUUAUGUACAAUAUAAAGAUAGCAAGGAAAUCACAAAAUUUACCAAAUUGCUACUGUCAGGACCGUGUUAUAUUGAUAAAUCAAGUUUAAAAUCAAUAAUAACAUUGAGUGUCUUUUUACGAGUAAGACAUACGAUUAGUUUUAAUUAUUAAACGAAACUUGAGUUACACAACAGCGGUUCGUGGAAUCAUUCCGCAUUCUGCCUAUCUAACUAGCUUCUCAAGUGAAAUAAAAUAUAGGUCAAACAGAUAUACAGAUUUUAUCUGUUUCAAAACAAUUCGAUGAAAAGGUAACCAAGUUUGUUGAAAUUAUCAUAAAAACUUUAAACUAAAUUGUAACAAAUGAAAACAUUAAACUAAUUAUUUAAUCUAUUUUUCACAUGAUGCACAUACAUAUAUUAGACAUCAGUCUUUUAGUCAAUCCAAUUAAAUGUAUGAUAAAAUUUUCAUUAGGUCCUACUGAAACAGGUAGUACCUUAGUACCUUAUAAAAGGUUACGAUUCCAAGCACCACUCAGUUUUAUUUAAUUAUUAACAAGUAAAUCUCAUUUUUAACUCUCGACUUAUUCAUAAACCGCAGAGCUUAAUUUAAAUUUCGUUUAUUUAUCUAUAAAGUUCUUAAAUGCAUACUAAUAUUGUACUUAAGAUCGAUUUAAUAUGGGUAAGAACCAUGGGAGGCAUAGAUAUAUAAACAAUAAAUACUAGUAAAGGCUUAUUAACGGUAACUUCUUGUCAGGGCAUUAUAAGUAUGUAAUUUCUUUAAAACAACUCUAUACAAUUUAUUAGACCAAAUUAUAAAUAAUUUUCGUAAUUAACUUGAUACUGAAUCCGCUUUAAUUUUAUAGGAGCUGAAAUCCUAAAUCACGGUAAAAUUGUUAUUUUUGUUAUUGCAAAUAACUACUAAAACGUGAUUUUUUCACUCUUUACUACUAAAUACCUACAGUCUAUUACUUUCGUCGGAUCAGUUUAUUGUUUAUAUUUUAAUUAAAUUCUAUGCAUUAUAUAGAAAUAAUUAUUAAAAUAUUAUUAAAGCUAACUUAAAAGGAUAUUAUUAAUAGGAUUAGGUAUGAUUUAACACCAAUGUAUUAUAUAAUUCGAAUUCCUUUAGGCAUUUUUUUAUGAAUGAUAAUGGAAUGGUGACCCUGCCUGCGCUAACGGUUUACGCUAGCAGGGCACCAGUAAGGGAUAAUAGGUGAAAAUGAAAAAGCAGGUCAGUUAGGUAAUCGUGAUGAAUAUACCUCGAAUACAGUACAAUGGUUUCUAGGGUGGCCACAGAGAGGUCAGCCUACCAGGCUAUAUUGCUAACCUUCAGCCAUUUAAGAAACAUGCAAUCCAUUCAACGCACAUCCUUAACAUCUAUAACUCGAUUCCCAUAGUAAAAACACCAAGAGUUUAAUGAUUUUUAGGAUUCCUUACAAGAAGGUACAAAGAAAUAUUUAUAAUGUGUAUUUGUCCGUCUGUACAUAGUUCAGCAACUACUAAUGCUAUGGAUUUAAAAUUUGGAAUAAUUUUACUACAAUUAGUGUUGUUACAAAUAGAAAAGUAAUUGAAAGAAUUUUAUUUCCUUUGCUAAGGACUACAAAAGGAGUUAUUAAUAAUUUCAAAACACUAGUCCAAUCAUAUGAAAGGGCUACAUCUACAACUUAUUUUUGCUGUCAAGAUAUGUAGCCACAGUUAUGGCCUAGAUACGGAAUUCCUAAGUUAAAUAACAAUUAUAAUUAUUAUCUAUUUCAAAUAAAAAGUAUAAUUAGAAGGUUAUUUUAUAUAAUAUCUAUAUGCUUUACUUAGUAAAUAGAGGGAGAUGUUAAAAUUUAGAAAUUAUAAAUCCUAGUACUAUGUUUAAAAAAAUCCCUGCGUUUGUCAAUGGAUUUUUGGAUGUAAUUGCGACCUUGUAACAAAUUCAUAUUGGUUUUGUAGACAAUAAUUGCUUUUAUUUCUCUUGGUAUUUCAGAGCACUUUCUAAAAGAACAACUUGUGUAGAACAUAUUUAAAUAAUAUGAUAAUAUUAUUUAAAUAUAUUGUAAAGAAUAUGAUAAUAUAUAUUUAUAUAUAUAGUUCAAAUAUUUUUUAUAUAAAAAAGGACAAAAAACUUUUAGAGAGACUAUUUUAUCUACGGAACGCUCAUCGAGUAAAUUCUGAUUUAUAAUGUCAUUUUUUUAACCUAUCUCUUAAUCUAAUAUUUAUUACUAUUAUUAUUUAUAUAAGGGAUCUUAAUAAGUGCAAUAAAUGUCAAAACAAUAUUAUUUAAAUUUAUGUCUACUUGUUCGGGAUCACACCAAAAUUACUGCUCCAAAUUGAAUGCGAUUUUCACUGUUGUGUUCCUGAAGGUCUCUAUUGUCUUCAUAUUUAUUAUGCACAAUAAGAAGUUUAUUAUUACUAUUUAUUAUAAGGUCUAACUUAGUUUUGUACUAAGCUUUUUUUUUAUACCACGAAGAUGGCAUACAAGCUUACGGGCUAUAAUAUUUGUUAAAGUUGUUAAUGUUUUUAUAUAAAUAAAUGUAAUUUCAUUCUCAAGUGUUAAACGAAGCGUGUUUUUACGAGAAUCGGGUUACUAUACAUAUAUAACAUAUAUAUAUAUAUAUAUAUACAAAAUGUUAUAUUAGUAGAAUAGUUUAUUUAUUUAUUUAAGGACAACCAACAAAGCAUACAUUUAUAUCUACUUAAAAUACAAUUAUAAAAUGCUGCCUCAAUUAAAGGCCGCCACGACAUGCGUAUUUAUAAUAUAUUAUUAUUAGGAUAAAAAUUUAUAAAUACUACAAUACUAGUUAUACAAUAAAUAGACUACAGUAAUACUUUGGAUUUGAAAGAUUUGUACACUUAUAAUCUAUACAUAUGUGCAAUGAUACAUGCCAUGCUGUUAUUAAGCUGAUUAAUUAAUACCUAACGGUAUGAAUAUCAACCAGACUUACCCACGCUGAAUAAGCAUUCAUUGAAUUCUAUCCAGUGGUUCAAACCUUAUCAUAUUGUAAAGCUAUACGUUCAACGUAAGUAAUUUAAUCUCAUUUGUAAUUUAAAACAACAACAAUCAUUGUUAUUACGCUGCAUAAUAUUUUCUUUGUCACUGAAAUAAUUAUAACAUUUUUUUUUCCCAGUAAUUUUAUCGUGUAUGGUUAUACUCUAUUACUAUUCGCACAAGAAGGUGACGGGUAUUAUUACAUCUGAGAAUUAUAUUAUAAACCAUAUUUUAAUGAAGUACUUUUAUAAUCAUAUAUAAAUUGUAGCCAAUAUAGGUAUAGUUAUAGAAUGUGGAGGCUCGAGAUAAAGACACUAGUCAAACAGUAGGUACAUGAAAACAUACCUCACUAUCUAUCUUAAUUAAGGAUCUGAUCGUACUAUGAUCUCAUGGAGCGGACGCGGCUAAGAAAACACUAUCCAUAGUAGAAAAAACAAUUUAGGAUGCAACUACAACAAUGCACUGGAUUUAAUACCCACUUUAGAUAAUAUCGCAAUAUAUACAUAUAUGUAAUAUGGACCUUUGGCACUUGGCUCUCACCUACCUAACCCACUUGACUUGACCUGAAGAUAGAUUUUUAAAGUUAUUUAUAGACACCUAGAUACAUAACAAAGUAACUACGAUAAGAAAACGGGAUUUACUUGAAAUGACUAUGUCACAAGCUGUGUUAAAAGAAAAAAUAAAUCAUUAUAAUAAUAAACGAUAAUUUUUUUUUUUUAUUAAAGUAAAUGGAGAAUGAAAUUAACAAUGACUAAAAUUGUUACGUUUUAAGAAAUACAAUGUGACGGAUGUUUUCGUAGUACUAUUUUAUAACUGUAAUUAUGUUGUUCAAAAAAUAGGUCAUUAUAUGAACAAGUAUACCUGUCAAAAAUGUUCAAUUAUAAUAGGAUUAACUUUCUUGAAUUACUUUAUUAUUUCUUUGCAAAUUGGUGAAAUAUUCUAUAUAAGUCUCUGUACAAACAGCGAACAACGGCCUCAUUUAGUUAAAAAGAACUCGGCUGUAGCCUCGUUCUUUUAAAAUUACUGGAGAAUUUCUCGGUUUUAUCUUAUAUUUCCAAUAUUAGUCAACUGUCAUAUACUUACUUUAUUUCAGGCCUCAACAAUAAUGUACUAUUAAUCCAAACAUGGGUUUAAGGUUUUAUAUUAAUACCUUAUUUUAAGAAUAUUGUUAAAUAAUUUCAACUCUUAUGGGUCUUUAUUAUCUACUAGUUAUUAGGUUUUACAUUAUGGCAAUAUGAAAAGACUAUAUGAGCGUGGAUGUUUGUAAUUUUUAUAGCAUAAUUUAUAUAGACAACUUCUACCCAGGUAAAUGUAUUUUAAUUAAAAGAAAUUCAUUUUA